rnacentral:rRNA from 1 species
GAGGAAAAGAAACCAACAGGGAUUGCCUUAGUAACGGCGAGUGAAGCGGCAAAAGCUCAAAUUUGAAAUCUGGCACCUUCGGUGUCCGAGUUGUAAUUUGAAGAAGGUAACUUUGGAGUUGGCUCUUGUCUAUGUUCCUUGGAACAGGACGUCACAGAGGGUGAGAAUCCCGUGCGAUGAGAUGCCCAAUUCUAUGUAAAGUGCUUUCGAAGAGUCGAGUUGUUUGGGAAUGCAGCUCUAAGUGGGUGGUAAAUUCCAUCUAAAGCUAAAUAUUGGCGAGAGACCGAUAGCGAACAAGUACAGUGAUGGAAAGAUGAAAAGAACUUUGAAAAGAGAGUGAAAAAGUACGUGAAAUUGUUGAAAGGGAAGGGCUUGAGAUCAGACUUGGUAUUUUGCGAUCCUUUCCUUCUUGGUUGGGUUCCUCGCAGCUUACUGGGCCAGCAUCGGUUUGGAUGGUAGGAUAAUGACUAAGGAAUGUGGCUCUACUUCGGUGGAGUGUUAUAGCCUUGGUUGAUACUGCCUGUCUAGACCGAGGACUGCGUCUUUUGACUAGGAUGUUGGCAUAAUGAUCUUAAGCCACCCGUCUU